UUAAUAUGGCAGAAAAGUGCAAUAGAUUUAAAUCCUAUUUAUGAAGAUUUUUAAAUCUUUUAUUAAA
rnacentral:tRNA from 1 species